UUUCCGUAGGUGAACCUGCGGAAGGAUCAUUAAUGAAUAUUACGGUUCUCUUUUCAUCAAAGAGGACUGACCUUCAGUCUUCUACCCUGUGCACUAGUAUAAUAUUUGACAGUUGUUAAUUUGGCUAGUAAAAGGGCCUUACGACUCUGCUGAAUUCACUCUUAAACUAUACAGUAUAAGAAUGCUAUAAACACAAAAAAAGAAAACCUUCAACAUCGGAUCGCUUGGCUCUCACAUCGAUGUAGAAAC
rnacentral:misc_RNA from 1 species